CCUACGGGCGGCACAGUGGGGAAUAUUGCACAAUGGGCGCAAGCCUGAUGCAGCCACGCCGCGUGUGUGAAGAAGGCCUUCGGGUUGUAAAGCACUUUCAGCGGGGAGGAAGGCGGUGAGGUUAAUAACCUCACCGAUUGACGUUACCCGCAGAAGAAGCACCGGCUAACUCCGUGCCAGCAGCCGCGGUAAUACGGAGGGUGCAAGCGUUAAUCGGAAUUACUGGGCGUAAAGCGCACGCAGGCGGUCUGUCAAGUCGGAUGUGAAAUCCCCGGGCUCAACCUGGGAACUGCAUUCGAAACUGGCAGGCUAGAGUCUUGUAGAGGGGGGUAGAAUUCCAGGUGUAGCGGUGAAAUGCGUAGAGAUCUGGAGGAAUACCGGUGGCGAAGGCGGCCCCCUGGACAAAGACUGACGCUCAGGUGCGAAAGCGUGGGGAGCAAACAGGAUUAGAUACCCCAGUAGUC
rnacentral:rRNA from 1 species